rnacentral:rRNA from 1 species
GUAACAAGGUUUCCGUAGGUGAACCUGCGGAAGGAUCAUUGUCGAG